rnacentral:rRNA from 1 species
UUCCAGACUCCUACGGGAGGCAGCAGUGGGGAAUAUUGCACAAUGGGGGGAACCCUGAUGCAGCGACGCCGCGUGGGUGAAGGAGCACCUCGGUGCGUAAAGCCCUCUCGGCAGGGAAGAAAAGCGAACAGGUUCGCCUGGACGGUACCUGACUAAGAAGCCCCGGCUAACUACGUGCCAGCAGCCGCGGUAAUACGUAGGGGGCAAGCGUUAUCCGGAUUCACUGGGUGUAAAGGGAGCGUAGACGGCGGCGCAAGUCUGGAGUGAAAGCCCGGGGCCCAACCCCGGGACUGCUCUGGAAACUGUAGAGCUAGAGUGCAGGAGAGGUAAGUGGAAUUCCUAGUGUAGCGGUGAAAUGCGUAGAUAUUAGGAGGAACACCAGUGGCGAAGGCGGCUUACUGGACUGUAACUGACGUUGAGGCUCGAAAGCGUGGGGAGCAAACAGGAUUAGAUACCCCAGUA